AACGCGUGAGAACAUGCCUUUAGAUUGGGGACAACAGUUGGAAACGACUGCUAAUACCGAAUGUGCCUUAGGGUGAAAGAUUUAUUGUCUAGAGAUUGGCUCGCGUCAGAUUAGCUAGUUGGAGUGGUAACGGCACACCAAGGCGACGAUCUGUACUUGGUCUGAGAGGAUGACCAGGCACACUGGAACUGAGACACGGUCCAGACUCCUACGGGAGGCAGCAGUGGGGAAUUUUCCGCAAUGGGCGAAAGCCUGACGGAGCAAUACCGCGUGAGGGAGGACGGCUUUUGGGUUGUAAACCUCUUUUAUCAGGGAAGAAUCGAUGACGGUACCUGAUGAAUCAGCAUCGGCUAACUCCGUGCCAGCAGCCGCGGUAAUACGGAGGAUGCAAGCGUUAUCCGGAAUUAUUGGGCGUAAAGCGUCCGUAGGUGGUUUAUCAAGUCUGCUGUCAAAGCGUGCGGCUUAACCGCAUAAGGGCAGUGGAAACUGAUGAACUAGAGUGCGAUAGGGGUAACAGGAAUUCCCAGUGUAGCGGUGAAAUGCGUAGAUAUUGGGAAGAACACCAGCGGCGAAAGCGUGUUACUGGGUCUGCACUGACACUGAGGGACGAAAGCUAGGGGAGCGAAAGGGAUUAGAUACCCCUGUAGUCCUAGCCGUAAACGAUGACAACUAGGCGUGGUUCGUAUCGACCCGAGCCGUGCCGUAGCCAACGCGUUAAGUUGUCCGCCUGGGGAGUACGCACGCAAGUGUGAAACUCAAAGGAAUUGACGGGGGCCCGCACAAGCGGUGGAGUAUGUGGUUUAAUUCGAUGCAACGCGAAGAACCUUACCAAGGCUUGACAUCCUCGGAACCCUGAUGAAAGUUAGGGGUGCCUUCGGGAGCCGAGAGACAGGUGGUGCAUGGCUGUCGUCAGCUCGUGUCGUGAGAUGUUGGGUUAAGUCCCGCAACGAGCGCAACCCACGUUUUUAGUUGCCAGCAUUCAGUUGGGCACUCUAGAGAGACUGCCGGUGACAAACCGGAGGAAGGUGUGGAUGACGUCAAGUCAGCAUGCCCCAUACGCCUUGGGCUACACACGUACUACAAUGCGUCGGACAAAGAGCAGCCAGCCAGCGAUGGUGAGCCAAUCUCAUAAACCGGCGCUCAGUUCAGAUUGCAGGCUGCAACUCGCCUGCAUGAAGGCGGAAUCGCUAGUAAUCGCAGGUCAGCAUACUGCGGUGAAUACGUUCCCGGGCCUUGUACACACCGCCCGUCACACCAUGGGAGUUGGUCACGCCCGAAGUCGUUACUCUAACUGCUGCAGA
rnacentral:rRNA from 1 species